rnacentral:tRNA from 1 species
UCCCUGGUGGCCCAGCGUUAAAGAAUCUGCCUGUAAUGCAGGAGACCCAGGUUCAAUCCCUGGAUUGGGAA